rnacentral:rRNA from 1 species
GACGAACGCUGGCGGCGUGCUUAACACAUGCAAGUCGAACGGAAAGGCCCUGCUUUUGUGGGGUGCUCGAGUGGCGAACGGGUGAGUAACACGUGAGUAACCUGCCCUUGACUUUUGGAUAACUUCAGGAAACUGGGGCUAAUACCGGAUAGGAGCUCCUGCUGCAUGGUGGGGGUUGGAAAGUUUCGGCGGUUGGGGAUGGACUCGCGGCUUACCAGCUUGUUGGUGGGGUAGUGGCUUACCAAGGCUUUGACGGGUAGCCGGCCUGAGAGGGUGACCGGCGACAUUGGGACUGAGAUACGGCCCAGACUCCUACGGGAGGCAGCAGUGGGGAAUAUUGCACAAUGGGCGGAAGCCUGAUGCAGCAACGCCGCGUGCGGGAUGAAGGCCUUCGGGUUGUAAACCGCUUUCGCCUGUGACGAAGCGUGAGUGACGGUAAUGGGUAAAGAAGCACCGGCUAACUACGUG